CCACACACACACACACACACACACACACACACACACACACACACACACACACACACACACACACACACACACACACACACACACACACACACACACACACACACACACACACACACACACACACACACCACAGAGUAACACAUAACAGUAGAAUGUUUUGUUAAUCUAUACAUCACAUGCAGUAAUAUAACACAGUAAUAUAUCACGGUAAUAUAACACAGUAAUACCGUCCAAGACGAAAGAACAGAAGACCCAAUCCAACCAGUAACAGGUAAUCACAUGUAAACACAGGUAAACACAGGUAAACACAGGUGAUCACAUGUAAUCACAGGUAAACAUAGGUAAACAGAGGUAAACACAGGUAAACAGAGGUAAACACAGGUAAAAAGAGGUUAACACAGGUAAACAGAGGUAAACACAGGUAAACACAGGUAAACAGAGGUAAACACAGGUAAACAGAGGCAAACACAGGUAAAAAGAGGUUAACACAGGUAAACAGAGGUAAACACAGGUAAACACAGGUAAACAGAGGUAAACACAGGUAAACAGAGGUAAACACAGGUAAACAGAGGUAAACACAGGUAAACAGAGGUAAACACAGGUAAACAGAGGCAAACACAGGUAAACAGAGGUAAACACAGGUAAACAGAGGUAAACACAGGUAAACAGAGGUAAACACAGGUAAACAGAGGGAAACACAGGUAAACAGAGGUAAACAGAGGCAAACACAGGUAAUCACAGGUAAACAUAGGUAAUCACAGGUAAUCACAGGUAAACAGAGGUAAUCACAGGUAAUCACAGGUAAACACAGGUAAACACAGGUAAACAGAGGCAAACACAGGUAAUCACAGGUAAACAGAGGUAAUCACAGGUAAACACAGGUAAACACAGGUAAACAGAGGCAAACACAGGUAAACAGAGGCAAACACAGGUAAACAGAGGUAAACAGAGGUAAACACAGGUAAUCACAGGUAAACAGAGGUAAUCACAGGUAAACACAGGUAAUCACAGGUAAACACAGGUAAUCACAGAUAAACACAGGUAAUCACAGGUAAACACAGGUAAUCACAGGUAAACACAGGUAAACACAGGUAAACAGAGGCAAACACAGGUAAUCACAGGUAAACAGAGGUAAUCACAGGUAAACACAGGUAAACACAGGUAAACAGAGGCAAACACAUGUAAACAGAGGUAAACACAU